rnacentral:rRNA from 1 species
UACGGAGGGUGCAAGCGUUAAUCGGAAUCACUGGGCGUAAAGCGUGCGUAGGCGGCUUUGCAAGUCAGGGGUGAAAGCCCUCGGCUCAACCGAGGAAUUGCCUUUGAAACUGCUUGGCUUGAGUACUGGAGAGGCAGGCGGAAUUCCGGGUGUAGGGGUGAAAUCCGUAGAUAUCCGGAGGAACACCAGUGGCGAAGGCGGCCUGCUGGACAGAUACUGACGCUGAGGUACGAAAGCGUGGGGAGCAAACAGGAUUAGAUACCCUGGUAGUCCACGCGGUAAACGAUGGAUGCUAGGUGUCGGGGGGGUUGCCCCUCGGUGCCGCAGUUAACGCGUUAAGCAUCCCGCCUGGGGAGUACGGUCGCAAGGCUGAA